UACGUAGGGGGCAAGCGUUGUCCGGAUUUAUUGGGCGUAAAGAGCGUGUAGGCGGCCAUACAGGUCAGCUGUGAAAACUCGAGGCUCAACCUCGAGACGUCGGUUGAAACCGUAUGGCUAGAGUCCGGAAGAGGAGAGUGGAAUUCCCGGUGGUAGCGGUGAAAUGCGCAGAUAUCGGGAAGAACACCUAUGGCGAAGGCAGCUCUCUGGGACGGUACUGACGCUGAGACGCGAAAGCGUGGGGAGCGAACAGG
rnacentral:rRNA from 1 species